GAUGAACGCUGGCGGCGUGCCUAAUACAUGCGAGUCGAGCGAACAGACGAGGAGCCUGCUCCUCUGACGUUAGCGGCGGACGGGUGAGUAACACGUGGAUAACCUACCUAUAAGACUGGGAUAACUUCGGGAAACCGGAGCUAAUACCGGAUAAUAUAUUGAACCGCAUGGUUCAAUAGUGAAAGACGGUUUUGCUGUCACUUAUAGAUGGAUCCGCGCCGCAUUAGCUAGUUGGUAAGGUAACGGCUUACCAAGGCAACGAUGCGUAGCCGACCUGAGAGGGUGAUCGGCCACACUGGAACUGAGACACGGUCCAGACUCCUACGGGAGGCAGCAGUAGGGAAUCUUCCGCAAUGGGCGAAAGCUUGACGGAGCAACGCCGCGUGAGUGAUGAAGGUCUUCGGAUCGUAAAACUCUGUUAUUAGGGAAGAACAAAUGUGUAAGUAACUAUGCACGUCUUGACGGUACCUAAUCAGAAAGCCACGGCUAACUACGUG
rnacentral:rRNA from 1 species